CCUUUGUCCGCGCGGCGGUGCGCGCGGGUGGGAGGUGUGCGCGCGGGGACCGCGCUGUCCGCCCGCUGUCAUCCAGCUCGGGCUGCCGCCCGAUGGCACGAGGGGGCGCGCGGGCCCGGUCCCAGGGAGCCACCCCCGGCCGCGGGUGACCCUCCUUCUGCGCCCGCGAGCAUGUCACCUCCAGCCACCGCGGCCCCCUCCGUUUGCAGCGCCCGCGCCUCCCGCCGCGGCCUGGGGCACUGGCCCCCGGACCCCCGCCCCUGAUCCACCCCCAGACCCUGGCGCCAGAGGGCCAUGGCCGGCCAGGGGGACUGCUGCGUCAAGGUGGCCGUCAGGAUCCGGCCGCAGCUGUCAAAGGAGAAGAUUGAGGGCUGUCACAUCUGUACCUCUGUCACCCCGGGGGAGCCCCAGGUACUUCUGGGGAAGGACAAGGCCUUCACCUAUGACUUUGUCUUUGACCUGGACACCUGGCAAGAACAGAUCUACACGACCUGUGUGAGCAAGCUCAUCGAGGGCUGCUUCGAGGGCUACAAUGCCACCGUGCUGGCCUACGGGCAGACGGGGGCUGGGAAGACGUACACCAUGGGCACCGGCUUCGACGCGGCGACGGCCGAGGAGGAGCAGGGCAUCAUCCCAAGGGCCAUCGCCCACCUCUUUGGGGGCAUCGCCGAGCGCAAGCGGCGGGCACAGGAGCAGGGAGUGGCUGAGCCUGAGUUCAAAGUCAGCGCGCAGUUCCUGGAGCUGUACAACGAGGAGAUCCUGGACCUGUUUGACAGCACCCGUGACCCCGACGCCCGCCACCGCAGGUCCAACAUUAAGAUCCACGAGGACGCCAACGGGGGCAUCUACACCACUGGCGUCACCUCUCGCCUCAUCAACUCCCAGGAGGAGCUGACCCAGUGCCUGAGGCAGGGGGCCCUCUCGCGCACCACGGCCAGCACGCAGAUGAACGUGCAGAGCUCCCGGUCUCAUGCCAUCUUCACCAUUCACCUGUGCCAGAUGCGCGUGUGCGCCCAGCCUGAGCUGGUGAAUGAGGCGGUGACUGGGCUUCCUGAGGGUGCAGCGCCUACGCGCGAGUAUGAGACGCUCACAGCCAAGUUUCACUUUGUGGACCUGGCCGGCUCCGAGCGGCUGAAGCGGACGGGAGCCACCGGCGAGCGGGCCAAGGAGGGCAUCUCCAUCAACUGUGGCCUGCUGGCCUUGGGCAACGUGAUCAGCGCCUUGGGGGACCAGAGCAAGAAGGUGGUGCACGUGCCCUACAGGGACUCCAAGCUGACCCGGCUCCUCCAGGAUUCACUAGGGGGCAACAGCCAGACCAUCAUGAUCGCCUGCGUGAGCCCCUCGGACCGGGACUUCAUGGAGACGCUCAACACACUCAAAUAUGCCAACCGGGCACGCAACAUCAAGAACAAGCUGGUAGUGAACCAGGACAAGACGAGCCAGCAGAUCAGCGCGCUGCGGGCCGAGAUCGCGCGCCUGCAGAUGGAGCUGAUGGAGUACAAGGCGGGCAAGCGGGUGACGGGGGAGGAUGGCAGCGAGGGCUACAGUGACCUGUUCCGCGAGAAUGCCAUGCUGCAGAAGGAGAACGGGGCCCUGCGCCUGCGAGUGAAGGCCAUGCAGGAGGCCAUCGAUGCCAUCAACAACCGCGUCACCCAUCUCAUGAGCCAGGAGGCCAACCUGCUGCUGGCCAAAGCUGGUGACGGCAAUGAGGCCAUUGGCACUCUGAUCCACAGCUACAUCCGGGAAAUAGAGGAGCUGCGGACGAAGCUCCUGGAGAGUGAGGCCAUGAACGAGUCCCUGCGUCGCAGCCUCUCCCGGGCCUCAGCGCGGGGCCCCUACUCCCUGGGGGCAUCUCCCGCGGCCUUCGGGGGCAGCCCAGCCACCUCCAUGGAGGACGCCUCCGAGGUGAUCCGCAGGGCCAAGCAGGACCUGGAGAGGCUCAAAAAGAAGGAGGUCAGGCAGCGGAGAAAGAGCCCAGAGAAGGAGGCCUUCAAAAAGAGGGCGAAGCUGCAACAGGAAAACAGCGAGGAGACGGAUGAGAAUGAGGACAACGAGGUGGACGAGGAGGAGGAGGACCGAGACGAGAGUGGCUGUGAGGAGGAGGGGCGUGAGGACGAAGACGAGGACUCGGGCAGUGAGGAGAGCCUGGUGGGCUCGGACUCAGACCCCGAGGAGAAGGCGGUGAACUUCCAGGCGGACCUGGCGGACCUGACGUGUGAGAUUGAGAUCAAGCAGAAGCUGAUCGACGAGCUGGAGAACAGCCAGCGACGGCUGCAGACGCUCAAGCACCAGUACGAGGAGAAGCUGAUUCUGCUGCAGAAUAAGAUCCGCGACACGCAGCUGGAGCGCGACCGGGUGCUGCAGAACCUCAGCACCAUGGAGUGCUACACGGAGGAGAAGGCCAACAAGAUCAAGGCUGACUAUGAGAAGCGGCUGCGGGAGAUGCACCGUGACCUGCAGAAGCUGCAGGCCGCCCAGAAGGAGCACGCGCGGCUGCUCAAGAACCAGUCACGCUACGAGAGGGAGCUGAAGAAGUUGCAGGCCGAGGUGGCUGAGAUGAAGAAGGCCAAGGUUGCCCUGAUGAAGCAGAUGCGUGAGGAGCAGCAGCGGCGACGGCUGGUGGAGACCAAGAGGAACCGGGAGAUCGCGCAGCUGAAGAAGGAACAGCGGCGACAGGAGUUCCAGAUCCGAGCUCUGGAGUCCCAGAAGCGGCAGCAGGAGCUGGUCCUGAGGCGGAAAACCCAGGAGGUUUCUGCACUGAGGCGUCUGGCCAAGCCUAUGUCUGAGCGGGUGGCGGGGCGCGUGGCGCUGAAGCCGUCCAUGCUGGACUCGGGGGCCGAGGUGUCGGCCAGCACCACGUCGUCGGAGGCUGAAUCGGGGGCCCGUUCUGUCUCUAGCAUUGUGCACCAAUGGAACCGCAAGAUCAACCAUUUCUUGGGGGACCACCCCACGUCCACUGUCCAUAGCACCCGCCCUGCCAGAAAGAAGUUCCUGAAGAAGGGGGCCAGCCAGAGCUUCAGCAAGGCCGCGCGGCUCAAGUGGCAGUCCCUGGAGAGGAGGAUCAUUGACAUCGUCAUGCAGAGGAUGACCAUCGUCAACCUGGAGGCCGACAUGGAGAGGCUCAUCAAGAAAAGGGAGGAGCUGUUCGUCCUGCAGGAGGCGCUGCGGCGGAAGCGGGAGCGGCUGCAGGCCGAGAGCCCGGAGGAGGAGAAGGGGCUGCAGGAGCUGGCGGAGGAGAUCGAGGCGCUGGCCGCCAACAUCGACUACAUCAACGACAGCAUCUCCGACUGCCAGGCCACCAUCGUGCAGCUGGAGGAGACCAAGGAGGAGCUGGACUCCACGGACACGUCGGUGGUCAUCAGCUCCUGCUCCCUGGCAGAAGCCCGCCUCCUGCUGGACAACUUCCUCAAGGCGUCCAUCGACAAGGGGCUGCAGGUGGCACAGAAGGAGGCACAGAUCCGGCUGCUGGAGGGGCGGCUGAAGCAGACGGACUUAGCGAGCUCCUCCCAGAACCCCGUGCUGCUGGACGCCCUGCGCGAGAAGGCCGAGGCGCGCCCCGAACUGCAGGCCCUCAUCUGCAACGUGCAGCAGGAGAACGGCUACGCCAGCACAGAUGAGGAGGUGUCGGAGUUCUCUGAGGGGAGCUUCUCCCAGUCGUACGCCAUGAAAGGCUCCACCAGCCACGAUGAUUUCAAGUUCAAGGGCGAACCCAAGCUGUCUGCCCAGAUGAAGGCUGUGUCGGCCGAGUGUCUGGGGCCCCCGCUGGACAUGUCCACCAAGAACAUUACCAAGUCCCUGGCCUCCUUGGUGGAGAUCAAAGAGGACGGGGUGGGCUUCUCCAUCCGAGACCCCUACUACCGGGACAGGGUCUCACGCACCAUCAGCCUGCCCACCAAAGGGAGCACUUUCCCCCGGCAGUCCCGAGGCAGUGACACGCCUCUGACCCGAAGGAAGUCCUACGACCGGGGGCAGCCUGCUAGGUCCACAGACGGAUUCACGCCCCCCUCGUCCCCUCCCACUCGGCCACGCAACGAUCGGAACGUGUUCUCCCGUCUCACCAGCAAUCAGAACCAAGGGUCAGCACUGGACAAGUCUGAUGACAGCGACUCCUCUUUGUCCGAGGUCCUGAGGGGCAUCAUCACGCCUGUUGGAGGAGCUAAGAGUGUGCGGACGGCCCCGCUGCAGUGCGUCUCCAUGGCCGAGGGCCACACCAAGCCCAUCCUCUGCCUGGACGCCACGGACGAGCUGCUGUUCACAGGGUCCAAAGACCGAAGUUGUAAGAUGUGGAACUUGGUCACCGGGCAGGAGAUCGCGGCUCUGAAGGGCCACCCCAACAACGUGGUCUCCAUCAAGUACUGCAGCCACUCGGGGCUCGUGUUCUCCGUGUCCGCCUCCUACAUCAAGGUCUGGGACAUCCGUGACUCGGCCAAGUGCAUUCGGACCCUCACGUCCUCAGGCCAGGUGAUCUCAGGUGACGCCUGUGCGGCCACAUCCACCCGCGCCAUCACCAGUGCUCAGGGGGAACACCAAAUCAACCAGAUCGCACUCAGCCCCUCGGGCAACAUGCUGUAUGCCGCCUCGGGCAACGCUGUUCGCAUCUGGGAGCUCAGCAGGUUCCAGCCCAUUGGCAAGCUGACCGGCCACAUCGGCCCUGUGAUGUGCCUGACGGUCACCCAGACCGCCAGCCAGCACGACCUGGUGGUGACCGGCUCCAAGGACCACUACGUCAAGAUGUUUGAGCUGGGUGAGUGCGUGGCGGGCACCAUCAGCCCCACCCACAACUUCGAGCCCCCGCACUAUGACGGUAUCGAGUGUCUGGCCAUCCACGGAGACGUCCUGUUCAGCGGCUCCCGCGAUAACGGCAUCAAGAAAUGGGACCUGGAGCAACAGGAGCUCAUCCAGCAAAUCCCCAAUGCACACAAGGACUGGGUGUGCGCCCUGGCCUUUGUCCCCGGCCGCCCCAUGCUGCUGAGUGCCUGUCGGGCUGGCGUCAUCAAGGUCUGGAACGUGGAGAACUUCACGCCCAUCGGGGAGAUCAGGGGCCAUGACAGCCCCAUCAACGCCAUCUGCACCAACGCCAAGCACAUCUUCACCGCCUCCAGUGACUGCCGGGUCAAGCUGUGGAAUUACGUUCCUGGACUCACUCCUUGCCUUCCUCGCAGAGUCCUGGCCAUAAAGGGCCGUGCCACCACCCUGCCCUGACCCCGCCUUCUCUCUGAGUCCCCUGUCCUCUCCCUCCUUCUCGCUCUCCUUCCUUCUCCCUCUCUCCCUCUCUGUCUGUCUCUUCACUUCGAUCUGAGCUGCUUCUUCACGUGACCUGACGGUGAAGCUCUGGCGUGCUCGGCGGUCAACCCGCAGCCCACCCUAGGAGUGAGGUCAGGAUGGCCCAGACCCUCGGCCCCCGGCGCCUGGGACAGCACGGAAGGGCCGAUGGAGCCAGCUGCCCUGGGGACAGAGGGCGUGGGUGAUGGGUGUGGCCCCUCUCCUGCUGUCCCUCCACUUUCUUCACUUUCUGCCAGGACACUGUCCCCCAGUCCCUCCCCUGCCUCUUGGGGAGAAAGAGGUAGGGGAGGAAUUUAAGCUGUGACACUGAAGGGCCUUCCCCGGUCCUUCCUCUCCUGGGCCACAUCUGUCCUGCUGAGCUGGCCGUGGCCUUCCUGGAGCCCGUGACCCAGGCUGGGACCUGUAGGGGAGGUGAGGCAGCCCAGCCCCCACACCCCUGGCCCAGCCUCCGACCACUGCACCUGCUUCUGAGCCCAAAAAGGUAACCUCAGGUAACCAUGGAAACCAGGUGUAGGCAGCUGGGCCCUGCAGCUAGCUGACGUUUAGCCCCUUGGCCACCAACAGCCGUUCCAGUUGCCCCAGCAAUUCCUGGGGUCCCUCUCUGAUGGGGCCAAGGUGCAGCUGCUAGAAAGACUCCUUUGGGUAGAUGGUCAGACACACUUCAGUUAUUUAUUGUUAUUUUUUGCUGUUGCCUCCUGGAAACUGACUUGAAGUUUCUUCCACAUGCUCGGUCCCUCAGCUCUUGGGGACCAGGACUCACAGGAAACCCACCCUACCUGCCCUCAGGCCCACCCCUCUGCUUGUUUGGCAGAGGAGGGAAUGCCCCCAGGACCCCACAUCACCCCAGGGGCCAUCCUAGUGCACCCCGACCUCUCGGCCGCCCGGCGCCUCAGUGCCUUCCUCCAUCCGUCCCGGGGCCUGGCACCACCUGUGUCUUCUCACUCGGGUCUCUUACCUGCUGCCCCCAGAAGGCAGGGCGCUCCACCCCCAGCCUACGGCCGGGGUCCCCUCCCCAGACCCCCGUGUGGGCCGUGUGGGAAGCAGCUCAGAGGACUGUCCACUAGGAGGCGGCUUGGUGAGGUUGCCGGGCCCUCACCCCUACAGGGCAGGGCGUCCCCUGCAGCAAUUUCUCUGUCACCCAGGAGACCCAUUCAAGCCUUAACACAGUGUGGGCAGAUGGGCAGGCAGGGCCCCGCUUUCAGAAGAGAGGAAAAGAGGGAACUCACUGAGCUUCUGCCUCGGGCUGUGGACGCAGCCCGUGGGAUGCUGUCCGGAGCCCCUCCUGGGACAGCUGUGAAGUCACAGGACCCGGCCUCAGGGGUCCUGCUCCGACCCCCCACCGAGCCUGUCCACUGCUGGUCCGACACUUACCUGGUCCUGAGCUCCUGGCCUCGGUGCGGGGCCAGGAGCCCAGCUCUGUUCGGAGGACGCGGGGACUUGGGACCUUCCGCCCGUGGCUGUGUGUGUGUCUGGGCGCCUCCCCCGUUUGGCCGGGAUGCAGGAGCCGCUCUGUGUGGGACUCGCCUGGAGCACAGGGCAGAGGACGCCGUCUUAGCUGUGAAACGGGAAAGCACCUGCUGCGGCCUGAGCCUGGCCUGUCCCUACCUGUCCCCCUCCUGCUCAGGCUGACCCCAGGCUGAGCAGGCGGUCUUGCUGCGAGUGGCCCCGCGGGAUAUGACAGUGAAGUCUGGGUGCACAGAUGUACAGGAAGGACUCACCCUUGAGCGCCCCUGGGACAGCCGUCUUCCAGACUGGAAACCCCUCUUCCUCCGACCAUCCAGGGGCGCCGCCGGACAGCUCCCUCAAGUCCCGCCCCCCCCCUGCUCCCCACCUGAACAGAAAGCUCCACCCUGCAAGCAAGCGUUGUCUGCAUGACUGCUUACACUGUAGAAACACCACAGACUGCUCACCCGUGAGCCACUGGACUGUAGCUGCCUGGCCUGUGUCGCAACAGGAUGUGACCUCACGGCCUGCGAGGGGUGCUUGGCGUCGUUGCCCGUUUCCUGCUGUUUCUGAUGGGUCAGCUACCUCACGGCCGGCCGGCUCUGCUGUCCUGGCGAGUAUCAUUGACUCUAAACUUGAAGUCCCUUGGGAGCCCUGAGUGUUGGCCUCUCUGCCCACUCCUUUAGGGAUGUCCAAGGUACAUAAUUGGGGGCUGGCCCCCAGCACCCCUUGUCGCACAAGCAUCCUAAAUGUGGGAAGCACAAAAUGAUUGUCACUUGAGCACAACGGCAGGGCUCGUGGCAGGUGGCCUGGGCACCUGGGACUCUGUCCAAGGUCCAGCUGAGGAAGCCCCGUCUUGGGGGCUUGCCUGUGUUCGUUCUCACACCUCCUUUUCUGCGCCCGUCUGAAGAGCUGAGGCUGGGCCACUGCAGGCCAGGCCAUGUGGGGGUGCCAUGGGCCCAGGAGUAGUACCCUCUCAACCCCACACCCCAGGUCUUUCAAUGCCUGAGCCCAGGCUGGCUCCCCAAUGAGCCUGACCCUUGUGAAUGCUUUUGAAGCUGCUUGGCCGGUGAGUGUGUCUCCACCCCAUUGCCCAGGGCCUUCUCUGCACUGUCCUGUGUGGGGCCCUGUUCUCAGCAUUCAGUGUUUGCUUUUGUUUGUGGGACUGACCCCUCCUGGUCAGCCAGAAUCCCCAAGGCCGCGUUGGAGUUGCCUUUGGAGGUUGCCCAGGAGGGAGAAAGGGUGCCCCCACCCAAAAGCCUUGGAGGUGGUCAGGGUACUGCCCUCAGCCCGUCAGGGACCUGGGGACCUGGGCAUGGCCUCCCUGCCUGUCACCCUCAAUGCAGCUGCAAUCCAGGAAACCUUCCUCCCUUGGGCCCUGCCGCCCACCUGGGCCCGUGAGGCUUGGGCAGAGGGCAGUUGAAAGCACAAAACUGCUGCAGGGAAGACGUGGCUGGGACUUUCUCAUGCCAGCCAGGGUGUUGGGGACUCAGGCAGCGACUGCAGGAAGUCAGAGGUGCUGGGUCUUCCAUUAGAGACCGUUCGGGCCUCUUGGGGGUGUGGUCUGGGGCUCACCGUCGUGCUCUGUGUGUGGCUGGGCCUGUCCUGCCACAGUGCUGGCGCCUUCCCUCCGGGUGGCCCAAAUCUGUGGUGCCUACCCCUUUGUCACACGGGUCCCGGCUUGGCACUCAGGAGCCAGGGCCUGGCCAGUGCCCCCCACGGGCGUGCUGUCCUGACUCCCAGAUCCUUCUCUGCCCCCCAGGUGUGAGGAAAGUCCUGUUUCUUCUAUGGCAUUGGUUCUCUCCCACCCGCCCUCCCCAGCACUCAGAUGACACCCCAGUCCAGUCCUGGGAACCCAUGUCCCGAGGGCCCCGCAUGGAGGUGGGAAGUGCUUCACGGAGAGCCGAGAGUGCGAGAAGGCCCCUCAAGGGAGCUGGGGCCCGGCACUGCCCACCAGCUCGCCCCGGCCCAGGCCCCAGCCUCUCACCGGCUCUCGCGCUCCCCGCCGUGUGGCCAGCACAAGGUGUACAUAGGUUUUGUACCUCUGCCCGUGUCUGUACAUAGUGUAUGAAAGUUAUUUAAGCCUCAUGCUGUACAUUUCUGUUCCUAGGCUGGAUGUGUGUGUUCUGAGAAGUUGUCAUAAAUAAAAUGAAUGAUCAUUGUC